rnacentral:tRNA from 1 species
GCGGCGGUCGUCUAGCCUGGUAGGACACCAGCCUGCCACGCGGGCCCGAGUCGCGGGUUCAAAUCCCGCCCGCCGCA